CUGUCCCGCUCGUACAUUCCGGUUCCUGCGAGCCGUCCAUGCCCACCCGGUCACUGCGCGCUACGUGCCUUAGCC
rnacentral:sRNA from 1 species